rnacentral:rRNA from 1 species
CCUACGGGUGGCAGCAGUGGGGAAUAUUGGGCAAUGGGCGCAAGCCUGACCCAGCAACGCCGCGUGAAGGAAGAAGGCUUUCGGGUUGUAAACUUCUUUUCUCAGGGACGAAGAAAGUGACGGUACCGGAGGAAUAAGCCACGGCUAACUACGUGCCAGCAGCCGCGGUAAUACGUAGGUGGCAAGCGUUAGCCGGAUUUAUUGGGUGUAAAGGGCGUGUAGGCGGGAGCGCAAGUCAGAUGUGAAAACUCAGGGCUCAACCCUGAGCCUGCCUUUGAAACUGUGUUUCUUGAGUGCUGUAGAGGCCAUCGGCAUUCCGUGUGGCGCGGUGAACUGCGUAGAUAUACGGAGGAACACCAGUGGCGAAGGCGGAUUGCUGGACAGUACCUGACGCUGUGGCGCGAAAGCGUGGCGAGCAACCAGGAUUAGAUACCCUUGUAGUC